GUCUAUAGGCAUGCCACGCUGAACAAGCCCAAUGUCUGAUCUCAGAAGCUAAGCAGGGUCGGGCCUGAUUAGUACUUGGAUGAGAGACCACCUAGGAAGACCAAGUUCUGUAGGCA
rnacentral:rRNA from 1 species